rnacentral:rRNA from 1 species
GACGAACGCUGGCGGCGUGCUUAACACAUGCAAGUCGAACGAAGUGGCGAACGGGUGAGUAACGCGUAAUCAACCUGCCCUUCAGAGGGGGACAACAGUUGGAAACGACUGCUAAUACCGCAUACUGAAGGAGGGGAUUGCGUCUGAUUAGCUAGUUGGAGGGGUAACGGCCGACAAAGGCGAUGAUCAGUAGCCGUGUUGGAAGGCUGGACGGCAACAUUGGGACGGCGGCCCGGCCCAGACUCCUACGGGAGGCAGCAGUGGGGAAUCUUCCGCAAUGGGCGAAAGUCUGACGGAGCAACGCCGGGUGAGUGGUGGCGGCCUUCGGGUUGUAAAGCUCUGUUAAUCGGGACGCGGUACCGGAAUAGAAAGCCACGGCUAACUACGUGCCAGCAGCCGCGGUAAUAC